AUAAAAUAUGUAAAUCAUGGUAUACCCCACUGAGUUAGUCAGUACGCAAUCCGCGUCCAGCUACCACGCCGGUCUGAUCCGCUUCCCUCUCCAAACCCUUUCCAAAAAAUGAUCUCAUCUUUCGAAACCCUUUUCGUCAAAUCCCCUCUCGCACUCUCUCUCUCUCUCUCUCUCUCUCUCUCUCUCAUUCCCUCGCUCUGGAUCUGAUCUGACCGUGAUUCGUGUCGUCGGGCACAAACGCGAUGUCAAGAAGGACGACGCCGAGAUCAAUUGCAAGGAAAACCCUCUCCCAUUCGGAGAGGCCGUCAUCUGAUCUUGCCGGUUGCUCGAAACCGAGGAGAGGAACGAGAGAGGCCGCAGAGAUCGCCGCGGUUUCGGCGAGAAAUUGCCGUCGACUCGAGGAAGAAAUAGAAGGAGAAGCAGAAGAAGCUUUGGGAAGGAAGCGAGCUUGAGAGGUGCGUUAAUGGCGAUUCGUGUAGAGGGAAAAGGGAUUUAAAGAGGGUUUGAAGCGAAUCGGGUUCGAAUCCCUCCGGUGUUACUGGGAUUAUUUAUUUUCAUGAAGAUCCAAUGAACAGAUUUACAAAUAUCAUCAGGAUCUUCUUCUUUGGUAGAAACGAUGAAGGAAAUCAUAAAAAGCUAUAGGCACUAUGACAGUUUAGUUGCAGCCAAACAUCUGGUGAGCAAAGGUCAUUUUCAAAAUUCAACUUGAUACUUGUUUUUUAGUCUGAUUUUGUACAUAUUUCCCUUCUAUGAUACUCCUGAGUUAAAGGAGACUGUUUCUGUGGCAAACAAUGCAUGUUGGGAAAUUGGAGAACUGGCAGUUAACAUCAGUUAUCUUGCGCUAUGAAAUUUCCAGUUAACAUCUCAGAUUUGGAGCUGCUUAGAAAUGAAGUGCGGGUCAUACAUCCUUGUCUUCAAUUGGGACACAUUUACAUCGAAUCGUGGCUAGUGCCUUUUAACUAUCCACUUUUUACAUACAGGUCGUGCAUGUGAUGACCUGACAGGCUUAUUUUGGUCAUUGCACAUAUACUGCAGGGCCCACCUGAUGAAUGGCCCAGAUCUUACACAGGUCACAUGUGUGGGAGAGUAGGAACAUAGCCAUCACAUUCUCUGUUGCUUAUUUGUUCUAUAGACGGUUCUUUUAGUGGCCCCUUAAGCUGAAGUAAAUUGAACUUGUGAAGUAAUGCUGCAGGGCGAAUUACACCUCUUGCUGAAGGAUGCAGAGGUUCAUUAUCUGAGAAAAUAAUCAAAGACCACAAACUGUGAGAGAAGGGGCAUGCACAACAUCAAACAUAUGCUUUGGGUAUCAAAGAGGUGUGGGAAAUUGAUGAAAGAAAGCACAGAUCUGGCUUCAUGCUUCACACAUUGGGUUGGCCAUUGGACAGCAAGACAUAUGGGGGAUCCUUUCUUUUCCACAUGAAAGAUAGGCAGGUAGUCCCAUUUUCUUUUCUGCCUUUUCUUUUUUCAUUUCUUAACUGAAUAAGCAAUGAAAAUCUCAACUAAUGGAGCCACGAAUAAAUCAACAUAGCAUUUUGAUGAUUGAUUGUCCUCAUUAUUGAUAAUUCCUGGAACAUUUGCUUGAAGUUUUAUGCAAAAUUGGUGAAUUUGGGCCAAUGUAAGAUUAUAUAAGCAUGAAACGAAAUCUUGCUUAGUGUUGACUAUGCCUUGCUCAACGAUAGCCUUAUUGAGUUGUGAAUAAGAGAGCCACCGCAGAUGCUCUUGCGAGCUUCUUUUUUUCACACCAGUAGAAUAACCAUGAAUGUGAAGAGAUCUCUCUCCGGUCUCCAUUGGCAUUGCUAAACAAACUCACACUAUAGAUAUAUUCUUCAAUGUAUUGCAUUUUUGUCACUUGUCUUUUGAUAAUAUAGUUAUUUGUUUUUGGCAAUGCAUUGCUCUCAUAAACAUGAUCUGAAUGUCGAUUAGAUUCGUCUGUUUUGGGCGAAUGCACAUACAAUAAUGCCCCAUAUAUGAAUAGAUAGGUGAUGUCUGU